GGGAUUGUGGCUCAGUGGUAGAGUGCUUGCCUAGCAUGCGGGAGGCACUGGGUUCGAUCCCAGCACCA
rnacentral:tRNA from 1 species